GCGCUCCCUGUUCGCUCGGAGGAACCAGGACGCGGAGCAGUGGAGGAAGGAGCAGCUCCUGAGCCUGCUGGGGACAGCGGGGGACAUGCUGAGCCCUGCCACCUCUGACAGCAUGGCCUGUGAGUACCUGUCCCUGGAGGUGAUGGAGCGCUGGAUCAUCCUGGGGUUCCUGGUGUGCCCUCCCCGUUUCAGGGGUGCCCCCUGCC